AGCGAACGCUGGCGGCAGGCCUAACACAUGCAAGUCGAACGGGCUUCUUCGGAAGUCAGUGGCAGACGGGUGAGUAACACGUGGGAACGUGCCCUUCGGUUCGGAAUAACUCAGGGAAACUUGAGCUAAUACCGGAUACGCCCUUUUGGGGAAAGGUUUACUGCCGAAGGAUCGGCCCGCGUCUGAUUAGCUUGUUGGUGGGGUAACGGCCUACCAAGGCGACGAUCAGUAGCUGGUCUGAGAGGAUGAUCAGCCACACUGGGACUGAGACACGGCCCAGACUCCUACGGGAGGCAGCAGUGGGGAAUAUUGGACAAUGGGCGCAAGCCUGAUCCAGCCAUGCCGCGUGAGUGAUGAAGGCCUUAGGGUUGUAAAGCUCUUUUGUCCGGGACGAUAAUGACGGUACCGGAAGAAUAAGCCCCGGCUAACUUCGUG
rnacentral:rRNA from 1 species